rnacentral:misc_RNA from 1 species
GGGCACAGCCUAUAAUCAGCUUGCUACAGUUUGUCAAAAUGAUCUUUUCCAAAACCAUUCCCCUUGUUUAUUUUCUCUUUAUCACUCUCUAUUUUGCUUCCGCUCAUGCAGCGACUUUUGCUAUCACAAACAACUGCCCUUAUACAGUUUGGGCAGCUGCUGUGCCUGGUGGUGGCAGGCGACUAGACCCUCGCCAAACUUGGCCCCUCCCUGUAAACCCCGGCACAACAGGAGCUCGCAUAUGGGCUCGAACCAACUGCGGCUUUGAUGGAGCAGGUCGUGGCCAAUGCCAAACUGGCGACUGUGGGGGUCUACUCCAAUGCACAGCCUAUGGUGCACCCCCCAACACCCUUGCUGAGUUUGCCUUAAACCAGUUCAAUAACUUGGAUUUCUUUGACAUCUCCCUGGUUGAUGGGUUUAAUGUCCCGAUGGAAUUUAGUCCCACUUCAGGUGGAUGUAGCAGGGGGAUUACAUGUAAGGCUGACAUCAAUGGGCAGUGCCCUGCUGUGUUAAGGGCACCUGGAGGGUGUAACAAUCCUUGCACUGUGUAUAAAACCAAUGACUACUGUUGCAAUAACGGAAACUGUGGCCCUACAGUUUUGUCUAGGUUUUUCAAGGAUAGAUGCCGAGAUGCGUAUAGUUAUCCCAAAGAUGACCAGACCAGCACUUUUACUUGCCCUGGUGGUACUAAUUAUAAGGUUGUCUUCUGCCCUUAAAGGACCCACUCCGCUCUAUGUAUAAUCUAUAGCUGCUUUCGCCAAUGUUGAUCGAGCAGUAUCGAUCUGUAUGAAUAAAAACCUUUUCAAAAGGGUAUAUGCGGUGGAAUAAAGGUAGAGAUAUUUCCCUUAAUAUUAUUAGUUAUAAUAAUCAAGGAAUUGACAAAGAAAUAUUAUGACUUCGUUUCUUAUAUAUGACAGUUCCUUUUAUUACCAUUAUUGUUUUUCUUUUUAAUUUAAAAUGUAUAAGUUAUCGAAGUUCAUAAUUUUAAAAUGGCGAUUUGAAAUAAAAUUAUAUUAAUA